rnacentral:rRNA from 2 species
UGAGUAAUACAUCGGAACGUGUCCUGUAGUGGGGGAUAGCCCGGCGAAAGCCGGAUUAAUACCGCAUACGCUCUGCGGAGGAAAGCGGGGGAUCCUCCGGGACCUCGCGCUACAGGGGCGGCCGAUGGCAGAUUAGCUAGUUGGUGGGGUAAAGGCCUACCAAGGCGACGAUCUGUAGCUGGUCUGAGAGGACGACCAGCCACACUGGGACUGAGACACGGCCCAGACUCCUACGGGAGGCAGCAGUGGGGAAUUUUGGACAAUGGGGGCAACCCUGAUCCAGCAAUGCCGCGUGUGUGAAGAAGGCCUUCGGGUUGUAAAGCACUUUUGUCCGGAAAGAAAACGUCGUGGCUAAUACCCGUGGCGGAUGACGGUACCGGAAGAAUAAGCACCGGCUAACUACGUGCCAGCAGCCGCGGUAAUACGUAGGGUGCAAGCGUUAAUCGGAAUUACUGGGCGUAAAGCGUGCGCAGGCGGUUCGCUAAGACAGAUGUGAAAUCCCCGGGCUUAACCUGGGAACUGCAUUUGUGACUGGCGGGCUAGAGUAUGGCAGAGGGGGGUAGAAUUCCACGUGUAGCAGUGAAAUGCGUAGAGAUGUGGAGGAAUACCGAUGGCGAAGGCAGCCCCCUGGGCCAAUACUGACGCUCAUGCACGAAAGCGUGGGGAGCAAACAGGAUUAGAUACCCUGGUAGUCCACGCCCUAAACGAUGUCAACUGGUUGUCGGGCCUUCAUUGGCUUGGUAACGUAGCUAACGCGUGAAGUUGACCGCCUGGGGAGUACGGUCGCAAGAUUAAAACUCAAAGGAAUUGACGGGGACCCGCACAAGCGGUGGAUGAUGUGGAUUAAUUCGAUGCAACGCGAAAAACCUUACCUACCCUUGACAUGGAUGGAAUCCCGCUGAGAGGUGGGAGUGCCCGAAAGGGAG